GAUCCCGUGGCGUAAUGGUAGCGCGUGAGAUUCCAACACUGGGAUACGAGCCGCGUCCUCGACCCUCGACGCACGUCGAGAGCGAGGCGUGUGCGCUGAUUCCUCAAGGUUGUCCGUUCGAUUCGGGCCGGGAUCG